rnacentral:lncRNA from 1 species
UUCCUUUCUUUCUUUCUUUUUCCUUCUUUCCUCCCUUCCUCCCUCCCUCCUCUCUUUCUUUCUCUCUAUCUUUCUCUCUUUCUUUCUUUUUCUAUGGCUGCACCCACAGCAUAUAUAGCAUGUAUAGCAUAUAUAGCAUGUAUAGAAGUUCCUGGGCCGCAGUUCCCGUGGUGGCGCAGUGGUUAACGAAUCCGACUAGGAACCAUGAGGUUGAGGGUUCGAUCCCUGCCCUUGAUCAGUGGGUUAACGAUCCAGCAUUGCCAUGAGCUGUGGUGUAGGUUGCAGACGUGGCUCAGAUCCUGUGCUGCUGUGGCUCUGGUCUAGGCUGGCAGCUACAGCUCUGAUUAGACCCCUAGCCUGGGAACCUCCAUAUGCCUCGGGGGCGGCCCAAGAAAUGGCAAAAAGACAAAAAAAAAAAAAGUUCCUGGGCCAAGAAUUAUAUCUGAGCCACAGAAUAUUUAGAAAUGAAAUUAGUUUAGAAACAAAUGAAAUUUCUAGCCAUAUCCAAAUUUUAGCAUUUAUUUCCUUUUAUAAGUAUUCCAGUUUGCCUCUAGAAUCUGCCAUGUCAGAUUCAUCUAUUUGUCCAGAAGCUCUUGGGUAUAGAUUACUGAAGGAACUUUUUUAUUUUUAGUUCAUUUUCCCCUCAAAGCAGAGCCUUCAUGUAUGUAUAUAUGGAUAGAUAUCCACUGGCAUUCCCUUUAUGUAAUUUCAGCAUUGCAUGAUAUAUUAAAACAGUCCUAUUUGUUGAAAUCCUGCUUCCUUCCAUGACUACUAUUCCCACCACAAGCCACCUUUGUUAAGUAGGAGAGUAACUGAGAUUGCAAAUAUUUGCAGAUGAGUUGCAACAAAAUCAUAAUUUAUGGUUACAUCGUCUUAAUCCUUGCAGGUGGGUUAGUUUUCAUGAGUAAGGUCCCUCACUCGGUUUUGUGCCACACAUAAGCCUGUUCAAAUCACACACAUAAGUAUAUAUAUAAUUUUUUAACAUGAAGAUUAAUGAGGAAAAGAGUCAUACCUAAUUCAAUUAUCAUGAUUAAGAUCGAAAUUCCAAUGAUAUUAAAUAACAUCCUCAAAGAAGCAAGAGAAAGAGGUGGUAAGGAAAUGCUAUUUCAAAUACAAUUCUGUACCCGGCAUUGCACUUAUUUCCUGGCAGAGCCUUAGGCAAAGCAGUCAGUGUCACGCUCUAACUAUCUCACUUGUGAGUAGAACCAUCCACUCUUUCCUUGUAAAUAGUGCUUUAAAACAUUGGAUCCAACGGUGAAGUCCUGCUAAUUUCAAAGUCAUAUCACUUUCCCAUGGCUAUUUGAUUUUCCUAGAUUUAAUGAAGAACAUUCUUUUUCUCUUGUAAAGAAACAAUGAAAGACAGUGUACAGGAGAAUUAAGGAGAUGAUUUUAUCAGGCGAUUGCAAUAGGUGUUCAUUAAUGAGGAACCUCUCAAAGGCAAGGAAGGGAGUCAAGAAAUCCAAAGAGGCAGGUAAACAAGGAAGUUAACAUCCACUGAGAAAGGGUAGAGGUGGGUCUUAUCUCAGAAUAUAUGAGAGCAAGGUGGUUAUUUCUCAGUAGAUGAAAUUGUGUACUUUCCAGGAACAUAGGGGCUUUAAGAAAAAUUCCCAACAUUGUUGGUUGUUCUUCCAUUUCAAUCUACCACUGAAUCAAUGGUUUUUGGUCAAUGGUGGGGCCAAGUGAAAACAGAUCUCAGCCACUGGUGAAAAUUAUGAUAGUUUUCAAUAUAUUGAUACUUAAUUUGUUGUAGGAAACAUUGAACUGUGCUUUAUUAUCAAUUAGGUCAUUUGAAAGAUGAGCUAUUACUUUUAAUCCUGGAAUCAAUGCAAUUCAUUAUAGAAACUUAUUUCUGCAAGAGUGCUUCAAAGGCUUUCUAUGAAAUCGUGCUACUAGUUUAUCACUUCUUGCCUUAGACAAUCAAAAGUAUACGAAGUGGAGUUCCCAUUGGAGCUCAGCGGUAAUGAACGGGAGUAGUAUCCAUGAGGAUGCAAGUUCGAUCCUAGGCCUUGCUCAGUGGGUUAAGGAUCUGGCAUUGCUUGAGUCCUACAGGGCAAUGUUGAGCACAUUCUCUUGAGAAGAGUUGUACUUAACUGCAGUACAGUAUGAGGUUAAAAGCAGGGUGGGGGUUACCCC